rnacentral:lncRNA from 1 species
GUGGUUGUUAUCUUGGAUAUUCAGGAUAAUAUAAACUAUAAAAAUUAUGAUGAAUACUAUGUUUUCUUUUGUGUUUACCAGCUUGUUUCAGAGAGAUAAUCAGUCUAAAUUGCAUAUAGUUCUUUAGAGGCUGAUGGAAGCUAAGAAUACGGCAAUCUCAUGAGUCAUAUAAUGCAUGUUAAAGACUAGGGAGAGCAGUAAACAUCUUAUGUUCCAAAUUCAUGACUUUAAAGCAUUUUGUACAACUAGGCCACUAGGGCAAACUGCAUUUCAUUGUUUAUAUUAUUUUUGAACUUUUUUGGUUGUAAGGAUGUAAAUCCCCUUCCAUUGGCUGAUAUUUGGGGUCCAAAGCAGUUGUGUCAAUCAAGUCUUCAGUUAAAGGUAGGACUUCAGCCUCAAUAGCCAAACCUAUCCAGCUGAUUUGAAGAACUCUCCAACCACAUUGUCAUUAGAAUCUCUGAUGCACCAAUUCUCCAUUGGGUCAGAUUCAAUUGAAAUUAAGCUUAUAAGAGCCUAAUGAUGGUGAAAUCUGGUGACCAAAGAAUCUGUUUUUAUUGACAAUUCAUACUUCUCUGUAAUCCAGCAUAAAUCAUGAUAAAUAGAAGAGCCAGGAACUUUUAGUAACUAAUCCCUAAUCACACUUAUUUUUUAUUGAAUCGUAUAAGAUAGCUGGAUGCAUAUGUACGAUAGAUGGUAUAAUGCACAAUAUUUUUGAGUAUAUUGGAUUAUUUUUUAUAGUUCUAAAAAAAAAGAAUCAAUUUUGAAUGUUUCCUUAAAUCACUGCUUAAAACGAAUUUAAGGUAAAAUAUAGGGGGCAAGAAAGAACAGAAGAGAGUAUAGUCUUGCAUGG